rnacentral:tRNA from 1 species
AGCUCAGUUGGUAGAGCAUCGCCUUUGCAAGGCGAGGGUCAGGGGUUCGAAUCCCCUA